CAGCCGCCGCGGUAAUACGUAGGGUGCGAGCUUUAAUCGGAUUUACUGGGCGUAAAGCGUGCGCAGGCGGCCCGUUAAGACAGGUGUGAAAUCCCUGGGCUCAACCUAGGAAUUGCGCUUGUGACUGGCGGGCUCGAGUACGGUAGAGGGGGGUGGAAUUCCUGGUGUAGCAGUGAAAUGCGUAGAGAUCAGGAGGAACACCGAUGGCGAAGGCAGCCCCCUGGGCCUGUACUGACGCUCAUGCACGAAAGCGUGGGGAGCAAACAGGAUUAGAUACCCGGGUAGUCCACGCCCUAAACGAUGGGUACUAGCCGUUUGGUGCGCGAUAGCGCUGAGUGGCGAAGCUAACGCGUGAAGUACCCCGCCUGGGGAGUACGGCCGCAAGGUUGAAACUUAAAGGAAUUGGCGGG
rnacentral:rRNA from 1 species